CCUACCCUCAAGUUGCAUAAAAAAGCCCUAGUGUUUUGAUUGCUUAAAGGACCACUAUAGUGCCAGGAAAACAAACUAGUUUUCCUGGUACUAUAGGGUCUUUGGAUCCCCCUCCCGCUGGGCUCAAGAGGGGUUGAGGGGUUAAACACUUACCUUUCUCCAGCGACAGACUCCCUCGGUGCUGGGGACCCUCCUCCCUCUUCCA